rnacentral:sRNA from 1 species
AGGUGAGAUCCAGGACCCUGCGCCGGGGUGGCGGUGUUGGGCGGGCUGAGGCCGCGUGUCCCGGGUUGCAGGUCCCCGCGCGUUGUGUCCGCCCCGGCCUGCGGCGGGGACGCCUGAGCUGGGCUGACCAUGCCCUGCCGGCCCGCAGAAAAGCAGGCCGGAAGCCGCCUGUCUCCAGCCCUCUCUCUGCUCGGGGGUCCAGGGCCAGAGGGGGCGGCGCUGGUCGUUGGGACUCGGCCCAGCCGCCGCGGCCAGCAAGUGACCAACGCCCGAGUCCUUCCCGGUGAGAUCAGGCCUCCCACGCGUCACGCCUGGGAGAACGCCAGCCGGCGGGGAGGUCGUGCCGGGAUAGCAGACUUUAGUUGUUGUCGUUGUUCCGUGGACUUUUUAGCAGCACAGGGGACCUUAUCGAGUCAGGUUUUCUCAGGCUGCUGCCCCAUUGGAAGAUUACUCCCCAGGCU